CUUAGUUCUCUUGAUCUGCUUAAAAAUAAACAUCUUCAAUUGCAUUCUCUGUCCUUGCCUUCUAUGUUUCCUUGCCUUCCGUGUCAGGAAUCCAUUUUCAGGAGAGACUAGAAGGAGUUUCUGGGGGAAGUUAAGAGGUAGGAAAGCGUAGUUAAGCUGUGAGCAAGAGACCCAGGAAAUAGUCUACCACAGGUUGUUUUAGAUGUCUCCUUUGGAUUACCAGUUGCAGAAUAUGCCACCACCACAGAUCCUUAGUUCUGCCAGUAGAACAGGAGUUGCAAUAGAAUCAGCACUACAAUCAUAUCUUGUUCCUACAAAGCAGAAAGUCAAUUCAAAGGACAGAUGCAGAGUUUGUGAACAUGAGCAUUGCACCACUUCAGAGUCAUGCUAAACUCCGUGAUGAGGAGAAUAAUACCAUGCCCUUUCAACAAGCAUUGUGGAAAGUGUUGGCCAUCAUCCUUUAAACAGUACAGUAUUUGCAUGUCUCUUGAUCAUCUGUCCCGGAGCAAAGUUCAGUAGGUUGAGGAAGUAUUGUUUAAGUGCAAUUGAUCUAAAAAUAUAUCAAAAGGAAACAACUGUAUGUGAACAAAUUAUGGAAAGGCUUUAUAUAGUCUUGUUGAUGUCUAUACAUACAUAAACAAGGAAGCAGGACCUUAUGACAUGGUUAUUUCUGGAAAAGCGGAAGGCCUGACCGUUAUUGUUGCACCACACACAAAGCCAAGAAGUUGCUACUGAAGAAAUUGAGUGGAAUUUAAGAGCUAUUAGAUUCCGCUCAAUUUAGAUAAUAUUUAGGUAUUUAGACUCAAUAAAAAAUUAGAACUAUUUUUGUAGUCUUAUGAA
rnacentral:lncRNA from 1 species